CUGCUAGCUUCGGCAGCACACAUAAAAUAAUUGGAACAAUGCAGAGAAUAGCAUGGCCUCUGUGCAAGGAUGACAUGUAAAUUCGUGAAGCAUUUCAUAAUUUU
ensembl:snRNA U6 U6 spliceosomal RNA